AGAGUUUGAUCCUGGCUCAGAAUCAACGCUGGCGGCGUGCCUAACACAUGCAAGUCGCACGAGAAAGUCCGCAAGGAUGAGUAAAGUGGCGCACGGGUGAGUAACACGUAGCUAACCUACCCUCGAGUGUGGGAUAACCUGGGGAAACUCGGGCUAAUACCGCAUAACACCCUGGCGACGAUGUCGCUGGGGCCAAAGGU
rnacentral:rRNA from 1 species